ensembl:lincRNA
ACAUCUGAGGUGGUUCUUGGGUACCAGGUACCAGUAGUUGGCAAAGGACCAUGCCAGCAUCCCCUCCUGCUGAUCCAGGGUUUCUUGAGUUGGAUCUUUCAAGUGCCUCCAAUCAGAUGUCCAGUGGGAACAUCUUUGCAGCUGCUCAUGGCAGCUCCAGGGUCAAUGGUAUUCCCAGACACAGCAGCACAGCACUCCAGGUGGAAACAGAGGAAGAAAGAGAGGUGUCCCUUGCAGUUUUGAAUCCCUUCUCUUCCUCAAAUCAGUGUCAGGAGUCAACAGCUCCACACAGGAAGCAUGAGACAGUGGUGCUGGGACAUGACAGGAGGCGAUGAGCAUUUUCAGAAGAGCUCAUGCUAUGGGUGCUGAGAUCCCACUAGGAUAGGAGAUCCUGGUGCCUGUCAGGAUGUAGGUGACUGUCGACAGAAGUUAAAUAGCCCAGAGUUCUGCAGUUGCUCCUAGAAGAUGUCAAAAAUUACCUGUUGUUGAACGCCUUUUUCACAAUGCAUCUGCCUUCCAGUUUGUUUCUAAUGUGCCCUCCAUGGAAAAGGUAGAGAAACAGAGGCAGGUAGAGAAACAGAGGCAAGCAGAGCUCUGUACGAUUGAGGACAACCUGCUCUACACAAGCUGGUGUGUCCAUUAAAGAGAAAGGAUACUGAUAGGAUUUGAGUCUAGACCUGCACUCUGUGGAUGAUACCUCGAGAAUCAGAUGCUGCAGAGCAAAUUUUCCCUUUGUGGGUGCUGAAGAUGUCUGGGUACUUGCUGCAAUGAGAGAGGCAGUAGAAUUCAUUGCAUGCCCCUGCUUUGUGAACACUCAAGAUUGCUGCUCUGUUUCAUUGCUCAUACACUGCAUCUACGGGGAGCUCUGUGUCAUCAUUACAACCUUUGAGAAUUCACUGCUUGUCCAGUGUCGAGAAUGAAUGGCGAGAGGACAAGUGAGAAUCUAAGUACUCAGUGAGACCGAGCAUUGAAGGCUGAGAAGUAAGGGGCUGGCAGUUGAUAACAAGCUGAUUUCUGAAAGCUCAACCUGGGGUGUGGAAGAGGAGCUAAAAACGAACCAGUUGUGAAGCCUCAGAUCCCUUCUGCAUCACCUCUUUAGGACUCAACUGCCCUCUUUGCAAAAGUUGGGAAUUCACAAGCAUCACAACAGACCUUUGAAGAUAGAGUGGGCAAGAACCAGUCCCCUGGGAUUCAGCAUUUGUUCAUUUAAUAAAUAUUUUCCAUCUCAUAUAUGCCACUUUAUUAACCUUGUGGAAUGGAAAGAAAACACAACCCCCAGCCCUUACUUUUGAACUUACUUUAAAAGCCUUAUGAAUUAGGGAGAAUGUUGUGAGCAUUUAAACAACUAAGGUAAAUGGUAAUGAAAAUGAUAAUACAAAAGUUGUCAUGGCUGGCAAUGGAGGUUCAAGCCUAUACUUACACAAGUGAGAGAGUCAAGAAGAUCACAACCCCAAGACCACUCUAGUCUACAUAGUAUGUUUGAGACCAGUUAGGGGUAUGCAAUGAGACCCUGUGUCAACAAAGCAAAACAAACAAAACAAAACAAAACAAAACAAAACAAAACAAUGGAAUGAGCGGAGACAAUAUGAGAUCAAGCUCUUGAAGAAUGGGGUUUAUGAAGCCCCUUGCUGUUUAAAACCAUCACAUUCCUCAUCCCAAGGAUUAUAGAGGUCAUAAUCCUUUAACACAAGCUGCUUAACUUGCCAAAUGGACAGCUUCACCAAAAUGGUCAAUCAGGCUCUUUCCUGGAAAUUUAAAAGUAAACGACUUUGGUUUGGAUGGUUUCCUUUGUAAAAAAAAAGAGAUGAGAACAUCUGUAACAGUCAUUUUCUACAAGGAACAAGUAAAGACUGUUAGUUUCAGAGAAGAAAAAGGAUGAGCAAAGUCAGUAUGAUGAAAUGGAGACAAGCAGAGCAGAGAAGGCACUCUAGCUCCCUAAUGGACUCUCUUCCUUGUUGGAGUCUCUCUGUUGCUCAGUUUUCUUCCUCCUUGAGGUCAUGAGACACUUAUAUCUGUAAUAGUUCACUUGGCAUCUCACAAGCCUUUAUUCCUUAAAAUUCUGGGGGUUCUGGAACCAUGUUUGGGAUGCUUUCCUAAGCUCCACCUCCCUGGCCAUGUAUAUUACUUUACAUAUGUAUAUAUGUAUAUAUAGUAUAUACACAUAUUCCCACCAAAGACUUUUGGUCCUUCUAAAUGUUCUCACUCUCUUCUUUCAGUCUCCAGAGAUACUUCAAAUAAUUUUUCUUACAUAAACAUUUUGUAAAAUAGGCAUUCUCAUCUUCAUUUCACAGAUAAAUUUAACUUGCCAAGCAAUUAUUUUACCCAACUCCAUGUAUCUACCAAUAGCAGAGCUGUGAUAUGAACUAUUGAGGCAGUGUGACUCCUAAAUGCUUUCUCCUAACCACCAAGUGACCCCCUAUCUCUUUCACUGUGACCUACCACAAGAAGCAUUUCACAGGAUGAUCUGCUUAUGGGGGAGGAGGAGACAGGAGGAUCCCUGAAACUUAGUCGGCAUCUUGUUUUGCCCAUGGCUACAUCCAGCCUGCCACCAACUUCUCUAGGAAUAUUUCUUGACUCUUCCUCUUCAUUCUACACGGAUAAGGAAGCCUUGUGCUGUAAAUGAUAAGGGCACAAGCUAUAAGGACCCCAAAUCUCCAAAUCAUCACAUGGUAGAAGAACUAUGCAAGAGUUCCCAACCCUCAAAGAGUAAAUGGGAAAGCAACAUUGAUUAGGUUCAGCCAUUGUAGUUUCAGCUUAUUUGUUAGAAAAGAUACCAAUUUUCCUGCAUUGAUCUACCAGCAGUGUUCCAAACCUUAGGUAUGCAGUGGUGGGAGCCUAUGAUACUUGGGAUGCAUACAAAGAGCAUUUUUAUAGCAGUUUGGUCCAUGCUUAUAGAGAUGCAAUUUGUUUUAUUAAUGACAGAGAUUACUCUUGAUAUAUACUAAUUCCAGUGCCUCUGUGGCUACUAAGGGAAUAUUCUCACUAGGGUCUUUUCCAUCAUCGAUGGAGAAGAUUCUUCCUGUGGUUUCAUUGAUAGCAACUAAAAAAGUUCUGUCUGUCUGUCUGUCUGUCUGUCUCUUGGGAUAUACUUUGUUCAUUUUCACCAGUUCAAAUGAGAAAUCACUGUUGCCAAUUUGACAAACUUCAAGUUUGGGAGAAUAAAGGAAAUCUUACCAAAGU